UGUAAAAUGAAUUUAAAAUGUGACUAAAAUAAAAACAGCUAGUGCAUUUGAUUGAUGUGAUCCCUCUGAUUUUCAAGAGUAUUUAUUACUUUUCUGUGGUGGUAUUAAUUUGUAUACUAUUUAAUUCACACUUUAUUUUGUUGUACUCUAUCUAGUAUCACAGAAGAGGUCCACAUCAACAUGGACAGUAAUGAAGAGAAUUGUUGCUGAGCAUGGGUUCACUGGAUUAUUUGCUGGUAUUGUUCCACGGUUGAUUAAAGUUGCUCCUGCUUGUGCCAUAAUGAUCAGCACCUAUGAAUAUGGGAAGUCCUUCUUUCGUAAAUUAAACAAACAAAAAAUAUACAAAGCUAUUAAUUCUCACUCAAGCUGAGAUUGCAACGAUAGUCAAGGUAUCUGGUCACGGUUGUGCCAACUUUGACUGUUGACUAGAAUUAAACUUUUCCAGACCAGAUAAAAUUCAACCAUGACGUUUGCUAACCAGAUGCAAUUCCCUUUACUUAGCACUUCCUUCAGGUUGCUUAUGCACCUUUAUUUCUGAAUUCAAAAAAGUGUAAGAGUGCUACGUGGUGUGUAUAUUCCUAGAACCAUUGUUUAAAAUUUCAUGUGAAUUCUCUCUUUAAAGACCAUGCUUUUAGAGAGCUAAGGAAGUAAAUUGAUAGUUUUAUAAUCAUCAGAAAUGGGUAAAACACACUUUGAGAUUGGUCAGAAACAUGAAAUAGUAUUUGCCACCUGUAUUAAAGAAAAAACCUCUUUCAGUGGAAAAUGAGACUGGUAUGGAACAUGAUUAUUUCUGACAUGCAUUUUAAUAUUUCUCCAAAUAGCCUCUCUUAAAUGUAUUUAUACUCUGAGAAUCUAUUAGGUUUGUGUUCAGAAAAAUAGACAAUAUGUAAACAAACAUGGAAAGUCUUUCAUGAAUGCUCAAUCAUGUACCUAGAUAUGUUUAGAUAUUUGUCCCUUCAAGGAGUGGUUGUCUUGGCAUCAGUCUUCUUUGUUAUUGAAAGUUAGGUUAAGUAUUUCAUCAGUGUUUCAGUGAGACCGAGGGUAGAAGGGGGCACCACUAAAUAGCCUUGAAAUAGAACCGUAAAAAACAUUUAUAUUUGGCCUUCCAUAUAUGUGGUUUGAAAAUUGUAAGUAGGAGUAUCCUAUAGACCACAAAUAUAAUAGUUAGGAAUCCUGUAACUUUCACUGGUCCUGUAUUGAUUAGAAACUUUACAUUACACAAUCUUGAGUUAAAUGAAUAAUCAGAAUUAAGUUGUUUGCCAUGUAACCAUUUGCAUGUUUUUCACUUUGAUUCUGUUGCCAUUUAAGUUGCAAUUUCAAAGCAAAAUAGUUUAAUAUUUGGAUUCCAUUGCAGAGCCAUGUAUUAAGCUGAUUAGCUGGUUUAUUUCUAAAAGUUGGAAAUCAAAUUUCCCAUUAAGAGCCUGAUCCUGGAUUUUUGCACAUCCAAAAACUCCAGAGGGAAGCUUUGUGAUGUCCAAGCAAGGUAGGAGGGAGCCUACAGGAGGGUAAAAUGUGCUACCUAUGACUGACUAGUUGUGUGCAAUCUUACUUUUGAAGUACAGUGGCUAUUAUGCUAAGGAAUUUUAAAUAUUAAGAUGUCUUGGAUACCUUUUGGGUGCAUGCAAGAGGUAUGAUGAAAGCUUUCACAAAACUAACUUCACUUCCAUAGCAUCUGAGGACCACAACCUAGUUCUUUAACAAUUGGCAUUUAAGGUUUCUUGGUGGUGAAGGAGGGAGGUGUUAAACUUUGUCAGGGGUUCAUCUUUGUCACCUAAAACUAGAGUAAGUAUGUAGGUGACCUUUCUACAACCCUGAAGCAGUAAGCUAGAAAUCACCAGUUCAUUUGUGGCUCUUCAGGUUUUUAUCCUUUCAUUAAUUCUGGACUGCUCUUUGUCCCCACUGAUCACAUUGUAGGCUUUGUUGUUGCUAUAUUUUUAUGCACAGUACUAGUACAUCCACUUCAUAGUGACUAAGUGUUGCCUGUCAUGCUCACAGAGUUCAGUAAACUAAGAUAGUGCCCACUAUAUGUUAUGUGGCCAAGGAAAGAGAGCUUUUUUUUUUUCUUGUGGAAAAACACAGUUUUGCUAGCCAUCAAAGAUGAUGAUUAAGAGUCCUGCAGGUUAAAAGGAUGCAGAAUAAACAAUGGUGAGAGGGGGCAUGAAAAUGAGUUCUCAUUCAAGUGAUCCAUGAAGAAUUCUUUCUCAGGAUAAUUUACACUUUAAUAAUAUAAAAAGAAAUAGCACUUUAUGAAAACUACAUACAUCCCAAUAAAAAUGUGAAACGUUCAAAUAUUUUCAAAAUGGAGAUAAAGAAUGUAAUACAUGGUUUAAUCAUCAUGGAAAUGAGUUCAGAUACUAGCGAUCGAUGGGAUAAAAAUGUUAAUAUUUAAUAAAAUCAAAUUUUUUCUUGUUUUGUGA